UAGCUUAGUUGGUAGAGUGCUUGCCUUGCAUGCAGAAGGCCCUGGGUUCAAUCCUCAG
rnacentral:tRNA from 1 species